UUUUCGGCAUUGUUUUACUGAGAAAGCAAACGAUUGCCUCAAAGCUGCUUAAAUAUUGUAGUUUCUAACGAUAAAAUGAAACUUUGUAAGAAGAAGUUGUCCUAUUUUUCAUCAAAUUUCAACGUAUAUUGAACAGUGAUACUGUCGUCACAGAAUAGAUAACGUAAUCUAUUCUGUGUCUUUGUUUUACAUAACAAUAAAUGCCCAAAAUUAUUUGCUCCGUAUCCACUCAAGCGACGCAUACAUUUGACGCUUAAUUCUUCAGAACGUUGAAUUUAUCUGAAAGAUUGAAUGUUCAAAGUCCCAACCGUCGACCAGCAAAAGGAGAUCCUGACUCACUCUUCAUCUUCGUUUGCUAUUUAAAUGUGUUUAUGUAACAAAACUUACAUGGAUAAAGAUUGAUGUAACAAUAAGGUAUGUGACAUGUAAAGAACUGAAGCAAGCUUAAUUUCGACGUCGAGGUCGUCAGAUAUAAAGUCUUACUUCUACAACAAAGCAUUUUGAAAACAGAAAGGCAUUUCUAAAAGCUCAAAAACGAUAUAUGACGUAGCUCUUUGACAUGCAGAUAGAAUCAAGAGAAAAAAGAAACCUAUUUUACAUUAGUCAAAUAAUUAAUGUUGUUCAAAAGGAACUUGCUUCGUUUUUCAUCAAACAAUGGAACUUUCAUUACAAAUCAUCUCAUGGAGAAUGGGAUGAUACACCCAAAAGUGGCAAAAAAUUUUGCACUUUAGAACGUAUAAAACCAAAUGUCCAUAAAAAAUAUCGGGAUGGAGACACCAGUAAGUGGGACUGUACGAUAUUAUUUGAUGCUAUACUUUUUUCAAAUUCAAUUACAAUGCAUCUUGACAAAGAAACAAAUGAUGCUGUUCAUGCACUUCGUGGUGAAAGAAACAAGUACGCACAUUGGUAUGAAGGGGAAUGCUCAGAUGAUGAUUUUGAUGAUAUAGUCAACAUCAUUGAAAAAUCCUUUCAAGAUUUGAAAUUUUCUCUUGAUGCAAUCAAUGAAAUAAAAAAUCAUCGAAAGUGUUUUAAUUCGUUCCAAGUUCUUCCUUCAAAAUCUAAUCAUUUUUUUGUUGAACGCACUGAAUUACGAGA